GAGAAGGGACAGGUGACCCGAUCGGAGCCCAGCCCGGCCCGGCCGCCGUCGGCGGGGGGCGAGAGAGAGCAAGGGGCGUCGAGGUCUGGGAGGGACUCUAGGGAGAUCCCGGCCGGGAUGUGGCGAGAGGCCUGAACCGGGGAGAGCCGGUAGAUGUGCGGCUAACUGGAGGGUGUCUGCCGCCUGGAACCCCGAAGAGGGCCUCAGGACAGUGAAGGGGACCCCACCCAACUCUGGUCACCCCCAGAGAUGUAGUCUUAAGACUGGGUGUGGGAUCCCAAGGCUGUGACGCUAGACAUCCCCUCAGACCCAGCUGCUGAGAGGGGACAGACCCUCCCGAGGAAUAUGGAAUUGCGAGAAAAGUGGAUGUCCCCUCCAACCCAGCAACCCCACACCUGGAAAGAGGUCUUGAGGACCUCACGAUCUGUACGUGUGCCGAGACCAAGCCGCAGCCGUCUGUCCAGCCUCGGUUGUGACAGAGGCCGGUUAACUGAAUCCUGACCCGCCCGGGAAGGAGAACGCUACACAGCGGGUCAGGAUCAUGUCAUAGUUCAUUCAUGAGAAGAAACAUCGUUUGCAAUCCAUCAGCCAGCAACAAACCAGACUGGAACACAGCACCUGCUCUCGGCUGUUGGAAAGGUGUGCGAGCCAGGGGCCGUCGCUGCUGGUGGGACGCCCCUUCCUUACCCACACAAGCAAUGGAUUAUUUGUAUAAUUAAUGUUUUUAAAAGGCUUACAGUUA